CAAGUGCAAAGCCAACCUGUUACUCUUGAUAAUCUGGAUAAAAGGUCAAUGUAGCUGCAAUGAGCAAAGUACAAGUGGUAUAAAGUGUAAUCAGAGAGGCAGGUAGGGGCCAGAUUCCUUAGAGACUGGUUAUUGUAAGAGGUGUAUAUUAGAAGUGAAGUGGAAAGCUCUUGAUGGUUAUAAGCAAGGAGACAUCAUUAUCUAUUUUGAAUUUUUGGAAAAAUCAUGCUAUUUGGAUUUUGGAGCAGGAAGGACAGUAAGGAUCUCUGGUGUAAACAAAACUGAGACUCAGACUUGAUCUAUAGCAAUGAUAGUGGGGAGGAGUGAACAGUCAGCGUAUAUAUUGUAGUAAAAGUGCCUGAAGAUUUGCCUACAGAUUCAAAGUGAGAAUGAAGAGGAAAGAGGCAUGAAGAAUCAGGACUUCUAACAUUUGAAUAAAUAACUUGACAGAUGAUGAUAACAUGUAUCAAGAACCCAAUGCAUAUCAACUUAUUAAAGCAUCAUAAAGACGAAGUGCUUCCAAGUGUUCUUGUUUCCUGUCAUUUUCUUCUCCCAAGGUUGGUCAGAGAGGCACAUUUCACGUGCUGCAGAUCAUUCCUUUAUCUGUAAAGACUUCUCCCAUGGGUGUGAGGCAGAAGGAGUAAUUGUUGAAGUCGGGAAUUGUAUGUGUUCCCCACCCUUGUGAUUAACUCAAACAAGAAGGGAUGUGGCAAGAGCAGAGCCUGGAAAACUCAGACUUGAGAUAGAAACCAUGUUCUUGUUUUUCUCAACUGAUUAUGUUCAACAGUGCCAAAUAAAUAAUCCCGCAAAUUGGGAAGGGUGACCAGGAAAGCAGAGUGGGAAGCAACGGCAGAAAGAAGGACAAUCUCUAUUUCUCAAAAAUUCUUUUUGUAAUUUAAUAUGUUACUUGAGUGCCAUUAAAUAAGUUAUUUCUCUUAAUGUUUUUGCCUGAUGGAUCUAUGUGUCUUCUUUUUUAAAAAUGUUUGCAAUCAUUUUACCUUUCUGUGAAAAUACUUAUUUAAGGUGUAUUACGGAUUUGUAAUUAAAUCCAACAAAACUAAUGUGAUAAUUUUAAUGAAUUAAUUAAUAGGGAAGUGAGUCAGUAGGGAGUGCCUUCCAAGAUAUUAGCCAGCAUUCAUGGCCCUUUCCCCUGAAUGCCGGUAGCAUCACCUUUUUGGCUGUGAUUAUCAUAACAUCUCUGCAUAUCGGCAACUGUCUCUCCUACAGGGCUACAUUUUUACCCCUUCAACAAACUGAGCUCUAAAGAAAGAGAGCAUUGGCAAUUAGAAUGAAGAAAAAACAACUAAAAAAUAUGAUAUAACUGUAGAGAAAUAACACAAAUAAAGUCAAGCUUAGAAGGUAAUAGAGUGAAGAAAGACAAAAAGAAGGAUAGGUGAAGAUAUGAGUUUGGAGAGAGUAAAUGUAUAACUGAAGGACUCAAUGUUUCCCCCAAAAAGUAAAAGUGGAACAGCUACGAAAUGUGAGAGGGUGGUUUGAUGCUAGUAGAUUUUUAGUGGUUUGAUAAAGGAUAUGAUUAAGCUUUUGCAAUAAUAACAUGCCAAGGAAUGCUGAGGAGCAGCUGAGGUUGAAUAAUAACCUGAAGUGGUGCCAAUAGGCAAGCUGAUGAAAUAUUCCCCAGCAACAUUCAACCUCAAGAGAAUCAAUAAAUAGAAAACAAAUGGUGAAAAUGAUCAGAGUUUGAGGUUUUAACAGGGCAGGUGUGGUUCUGAAAGAAGAUGGAAAGAAAGAGAUCCCAGGAUAAAAUGUAGGUAAAAUGAUUAAUGAUUAGAUCCAGGCUGGGUUAUCAGGAAGAGAAUGAGUGAUAAUGGAAAAACCGGGAAGAAAAAUCAGUGAUUUAUUAAGUGUUUGGAGGUUUUGAUAAAUUCCAAAACUGUGCUUCAUGCAACUAAUAAAGUGGGACAAGUAACACUGUAAAAAUGUAUUUGUUAAAAGAGUUGGGUAUAUGUAUAUUAAUCCACGGAAGACAGUCUUCCUAUUGGAAAUAGACAUGUGCAUUGCAUAUGUACUGAUCUGAAUGUUUAGAACCCCCCUUACCAAUUAUUUGUAUAUGUGUACAUAUAUACAAUGUAUUAGCUAUAUCAAUCUUUUAUCUACUUAUCCAUCUAUCUACCUCUAGUUAACAUUUGAGAGUUUUGUUAUUUUU
rnacentral:lncRNA from 1 species